UACGUAGGGUGCGAGCGUUAAUCGGAAUUACUGGGCGUAAAGCGUGCGCAGGCGGUUUUGUAAGCCAGAUGUGAAAUUCCCCGGCUCAACUGGGGAACUGCACAGGAAACUAGCGGGCUUGAGUUCGGGAGAGGGAAGCGGAAUUCCGGGUGUAGCGGUGAAAUGCGUAGAUAUCCGGAGGAACACCGGUGGCGAAGGCGGCGUUCUGGACUGCAACUGACACUGAAAAACGAAAGCCAGGGGAGCAAACGGG
rnacentral:rRNA from 1 species